rnacentral:rRNA from 1 species
UUGAUCCUGCCGGAUGCUACCUGCUAUUGGAGUUCGAUUACGCCAUGCGAGUCGAGAGUCCUCGUGGACUCGUGCGUACCUGCUCAGUAACACGUGGGUAACCUGCCCUAUGCUGGGGAAUAACCUCGGGAAACUGAGAAUAAUGCCCCAUAGCCCACUACGCCUGGAACGGUGAGUGGGUCAAAGCUCCGGCGGCAUAGGAUGGGCCUGCGCCGUAUCAGGUUGUAGGGGGUGUAAAGUACCCUCUAGCCAUCAACGCGUACGGGUGUUGGGAGACAUUGCCCGGAGAUGGAUUCUGAGACACGAAUCCAGACCCUACGGGGUGCAGCAGGCGCGAAAACUUGGCAAUGCGAGAAAUCGUGACCAGGGAACUCCAAGUGCGUAGGGUAAGACCUACGCUUUUCUUGACUCUUCAAAGGUCUUGGAAUAAGGGGUGGGUAAGGACGGUGCCAGCCGCCGCGGUAAUACCGGCGCCUCAAGUGGUAGUCGCUUUUAUUGGGCCUAAAACGUCCGUAGCCGGUCUGGUGCAUUCGUGGGUCAAUCAAGCCGCUCAACGGGUUGAAUUCUGCGAGCACGGCCAGACUUGGGACCGGGAGAGGUGUGGGGUACUCUCAGGGUAGGGGUAAAAUCCUGUCAUCCUGAGAGGACCACCUGUUGCGAAGGCGCCACACUAGAACGGAUCCGACGGUCAGGGACGAAACCUAGGGGCACGAACCGGGAUUAGAUACCCGGGUAGUCCUAGUGUGUAC